rnacentral:tRNA from 1 species
AAGGGAGACCUAAUUCAGGUAGGAGACGAAAAAAAAGUAGUCGCUACCAAGAAUCAAUCCCAAAAGGUCGGAGCGAGGCGAAAUUGGCUUUCAAACUAGGUUCUGGGUUCACACAAGACCUGAAUCAGGAACAAGGGCUAUUAGCUCAGGUGGUUAGAGCGCACCCCUGAUAAGGGUGAGGUCCCUGGUUCGAGUCCAGGAUGGCCCACCUGUACAGGUGGCAAAAAGAAGAGAAACGAGGAAUCAGCACCUUAUCUUACUUACAUAGUAAGAGAGAAUGCUGGCUCUGAGUAAAGAGUCCAGAGGAACCUUGAAAACUGCAUAGAGCUAGGUGAAAAAGCCAAAAAAGAAGACCGCAA